CCUAGUAACGGCGAGUGAAGCGGCAACAGCUCAAAUUUGAAAUCUGGCCUCCUUUUGGCGGUCCGAGUUGUAAUUUGCAGAGGGCGCUUUGGCGUCGGCAGCGGUCUAAGUUCCUUGGAACAGGACAUCACAGAGGGUGAGAAUCCCGUACGUGGUCGCCUGCCUUCGCCGUGUAAAGCCCCUUCGACGAGUCGAGUUGUUUGGGAAUGCAGCUCUAAAUGGGAGGUAAAUUUCUUCUAAAGCUAAAUACCGGCCAGAGACCGAUAGCGCACAAGUAGAGUGAUCGAAAGAUGAAAAGCACUUUGGAAAGAGAGUCAAACAGCACGUGAAAUUGUUAAAAGGGAAGCGCUUGCAGCCAGACUUGCUCGCAGUUGCUCAUCUGGGCUUUUGCCCAGAGCACUCUUCUGCGGGCAGGCCAGCAUCAGUUUGGGCGACCGGAUAAUGGCCUCUGUCACGUAUCUUCCUUCGGGAUGACCUUAUAGGGGAGGCGUAGUACGGUCAGCCCGGACUGAGGUCCGCGCAUCUGCUAGGAUGCUGGCGUAAUGGCUGUAAGCGGCCCGUCUUGAAACACGGACCAAGGAGUCUAACAUCUAUGCGAGUGUUUGGGUGUCAAGCCCGGGCGCGUAAUGAAAGUGAACGGAGGUGGGAACCCUCUUUUCGGAGGGGGUGCACCAUCGACCGAUCCUGAUGUCUUCGGAUGGAUUUGAGUAAGAGCAUAGCUGUUGGGACCCGAAAGAUGGUGA
rnacentral:rRNA from 1 species